AACAAUAGGCACACUUUUUUUUUUUUUUCCCUCCUUAAAAAUUCUGUUUCAAAAAGCUUUACUGGCUGACAGAAUUCUACCACUCUGCCUUACAAACAAAAUGGCUGUGGUACUGAGUUUUUUUGGAUCCUCCCACUGUGCCUCCUCCUGGCCUCCAGGAAGUGGUAAAAAUCCAAAAUAAAUACAGUACUAAAAGUACAUUGUCCAGGCUCAACUCGGGUGAAACCUUUGGAGAAUUUUCUUCAGAGUUUUUGAGCCGAUAUUCAUGAUUUACAAGAUUUGUUUUGGUAAAGGACGCUCUAUACCCAGUCUGGAGCCCAAGGCAAGGCCCAAACCCAUGACUCUGAGGUCAAGACCCAAACCAAGAUCAGAGUCAGAUGCUUAGCCAACUGAGCCACACAGGCUCCCUGUAUGCUAUCUCUUAA